rnacentral:tRNA from 1 species
GUCUGUAUAUCUAAGUUUAAAGUGCUGGGUUCUUACCCCAGUAAUGUGAUUUUCACUACAGUCU